CGCCGAUUAGGUCCUCGUUCGCUUCGUCGUGAUCGGAGCUCGAGCGAGGACAGUGGGGCGAGGACUGACGGAGCCUCCAAGCGGCGCGAAAGCUAGGGUUAAAACCCUAGCAGAGAGUUUAGGUUCUUUUUUUUUUUAAUUUUGUUUAUGCAAAUGUUUUUUUUAACAGAAACUUGGUUUAAAUGGUGCAUUGAUACGGCGCCGUUUUAACAAGGAAUCAUAAGAGUCGAAAUGACACCGUAUAAGGUGUAGACCCGCGUGG
rnacentral:lncRNA from 1 species